rnacentral:rRNA from 1 species
AGUGAACGCUGGCGGUAGGCCUAACACAUGCAAGUCGAACGGCAGCACAGUAAGAGCUUGCUCUUACGGGUGGCGAGUGGCGGACGGGUGAGGAAUACAUCGGAAUCUACUUUUUCGUGGGGGAUAACGUAGGGAAACUUACGCUAAUACCGCAUACGACCUACGGGUGAAAGCAGGGGAUCUUCGGACCUUUCGCGAUUGAAUGAGCCGGUGUCGGAUUAGCUAGUUGGCGGGGUAAAGGCCCACCAAGGCGACGAUCCGUAGCUGGUCUGAGAGGAUGAUCAGCCACACUGGAACUGAGACACGGUCCAGACUCCUACGGGAGGCAGCAGUGGGGAAUAUUGGACAAUGGGCGCAAGCCUGAUCCAGCCAUACCGCGUGAGUGAAGAAGGCCUUCGGGUUGUAAAGCCCUUUUGUUGGGAAAGAAAAGCAGCAGGUUAAUACCCCGCUGUUCUGACGGUACCCAAAGAAUAAGCACCGGCUAACUUCGUG